AUUGAACGCUGGCGGCAUGCCUUACACAUGCAAGUCGAACGGCAGCACGGGAGCAAUCCUGGUGGCGAGUGGCGAACGGGUGAGUAAUAUAUCGGAACGUGCCCGGUCGUGGGGGAUAACGUAGCGAAAGCUACGCUAAUACCGCAUACGAUCUACGGAUGAAAGCGGGGGAUCGCAAGACCUCGCGCGAUUGGAGCGGCCGAUAUCAGAUUAGGUAGUUGGUGAGGUAAAGGCUCACCAAGCCGACGAUCUGUAGCUGGUCUGAGAGGACGACCAGCCACACUGGGACUGAGACACGGCCCAGACUCCUACGGGAGGCAGCAGUGGGGAAUUUUGGACAAUGGGCGCAAGCCUGAUCCAGCAAUGCCGCGUGCAGGAUGAAGGCCUCGGUUGUAACGUAGCUUUGUUACGGUAACGG
rnacentral:rRNA from 1 species